UGGUGGUGGUAGUCGAGUGGUGGUGAUGGUAGCACAGCUGCACAGGUGACAGAGUGGUGGUGGUUUUGAUUGUAAUGUUGAUAAUAAAUAAAAUAAAAAAUGAAAAAGUAAUUAUGAUUAUACUUAUUUUGUAUCUAAAUAAAUUACUUAAAUUGUAAUUGAUUAUAUGUAUAAUUGUCAUUCCAUUACUUGAAAUUUUUUUGUGUUACCAUAAUUACAUUACAAUGUUAAUUAUGUCAUAUCAAACAUGGUCUAAAUUCAUGUUUUCCCACACAAACUGGGUUAUGUGACCUUCAUGGCUUAUUUUUCCUUUUCAUUGUGG
rnacentral:misc_RNA from 1 species